rnacentral:rRNA from 1 species
AAUGCUAACCUACGUAGUAUAGGAUAGCCACUAGAAAUGGUGGGUAAUACUGUAUAAUCCCUGCGGGGGAAAGAUUUAUCGCUACAUGAUGAGCCUAUGUUAGAUUAGCUAGUUGGUGGGGUAAUGGCCUACCAAGGCAGUGAUCUAUAGCUGGUCUGAGAGGAUGAUCAGCCACACUGGAACUGAGACACGGUCCAGACUCCUACGGGAGGCAGCAGUGGGGAAUAUUGGACAAUGGGCGCAAGCCUGAUCCAGCUAUGCCGCGUGAGUGAGGAAGGCCUUAGGGUUGUAAAACUCUUUCAGUAGGGAAGAUAAUGACGGUACCUAUA